UACAGAGGUCUCAAGCGUUGUUCGGAUUCAUUGGGCGUAAAGGGUGCGUAGGUGGCGCCGUAAGUCAGGUGUGAAAUUUCGGAGCUUAACUCCGAAACUGCAUUUGAUACUGCGGUGCUUGAGGACUGGAGAGGAGACUGGAAUUCACGGUGUAGCAGUGAAAUGCGUAGAUAUCAGGAGGAACACCUGUGGCGAAAGCGGCGCACUGGACCACAACUGACGCUGAGGCGCGAAAGCUAGGGGAGCAAACAGG
rnacentral:rRNA from 1 species